CAUAUUUCCUGUGUUUUGUUUUGUGGGUUUUUUUCCCCCUUCCCGGCUGCAACUUUUGAUUCUCUUCGCAGUAUCCGCGCAGUACACUUGGGUCUGCGUGGUGGCCCCGCUGCUCCAGCACAGGCCUGCGCCUGGUUCUCUGCUACCCGGAUAGCAGGCUCCGAAGCCCGCAGCAGGUACUUGCUUUCGGGCGGUUAGGGAACUGAUGGCGCAAGGCGCUGGCGCUGGGGAGAGCUGUGCAGCCAGUGCAAGGUCCCAAAGUUUCGCUCUGGAGUUCACGGCUGAAGGCUAACUAGGGAGCUUGCCAGGACGCUCCUGGGAGCUGAGCUAAACCCGCUGGCGUCCGCGGAAGUUUAGGAUUAGGAAGGUUCUCCUAGAACAGCCCAUUUUCCUUCACACACUCUCCCUCUUUUUCGAAGCAGCUAACGGAAAAGUUGCAUCCAAAAGCUCCAGGAGCAUGGGGAAGAGCUCAUGCAGCCCACGCGGAUCGACUUCCCAGAGUCGCCUUUGGUGCCUCCCCGCACCCUUCACCUGCACUCUUGUCGCCUCGCACAAGAGAAGACCGCUGCGCUGUCAGAGCAGGCAACUCCGCACCUUAACAGGCAUCUCUUACAAGCCGAGGCGCGCGGGCUGAGCCUACCUCUCCUGGGGUCCUCUCGCCUAGGGGCUGGAAGACAAUCGGGCCUGGAACGUAAAAGGAAGAGAUCCGGCGCAAGCAGCAGGGUGGAGGGAAAGAAGAGGACUUUUAUUGGGGCAAAUGUGUCCGCACACCCUGGAGCAAGAAGUACAUAGGCAUCGAAAUUCUGUGGGGGAAAGGAGACUUCAACAGAGGUACUAGUCUGACUUCUGGCUCUAGGUAAAAGAGACGUUGGUUGGGGUGUGUGUGUGUGGGUGUGUGUGUCCCAAGGUGAAUAAAAAUCGGACUCCUCCUGGCUCCUUGGGACUCAGCCAUUCUCUUCCUCCUUCUUUAACGCCCUUUUGGGAGAAGGUGGACCACCCCCCCCCCACACACACACACACACGCCGCCACCCAAGUCUUGCAAGUGGCCGUGGUCGGUAGAUGGCCAGGACGCACCCCCUCCUCCUUUCCGACCGCCCGGCGCGUCUGCUUGGGAGACAGAUGGGGGGCGGGCCCAUCUGAGAGGGGCGGAGGAGGCCGGGGGUGGAGGAGAAGGGGAGGUGAGAACUCUGAGAAUCUGAAUUGGGUGGAGAGGGGGGACCGGAGGAGGGCUAAGAGGACUCCGCGCCCGGGGGAGAGGAGGAGGGGGCAGCUCUGCACCAAUCAGUGGCGCCGGCCUGGGAGGUUGCUAGCGGUAUCCACGUAAAUCAAAGGGCGCGGAGCCAAUGGGAGGGGGUGGAGGGGGCGGGGCCCAGGCGCGUGCCGCUGCAAGCCGGCGCUGCCAAGAGAGCGGGAGAGAGCUGGAGAGAGCAGGGAGAGGGGGGAGAGCGGAGCUAGUCAGAGAGUGAGCGAGAGCAAGGAGGGAGAGGAGGAGAAAGAGAGCGAGGGCUGGCUGGCGGGCGGGAGGCGGCGGCGGCUGUAAUAGCAGGAGCAGCAACAGAAGGCGUCGGAGCCGGCGUCGGAGCUGCCCGCUGGGGGAGAGAGAGAGGAAAGAGACAGAGAGCGAGCUAGGAGAGGAGCCCGAGGCGAAAAAGUAACUGUCAAAUGCGCGGCUCCUUUAACCGGAGCGCUCAGUCCGGCUCCGAGAGUCAUGGCGACCGCAGCGUCUAACCACUACAGCCUGCUCACCUCCAGCGCCUCCAUCGUGCACGCUGAGCCGCCCGGCGGCAUGCAGCAGGGUGCGGGGGGCUACCGCGAGGCGCAGAGCCUGGUGCAGGGCGACUACGCCGCGCUGCAGAGCAACGGGCACCCGCUCAGCCACGCUCACCAGUGGAUCACCGCGCUGUCCCACGGCGGCGGCGGUGGGGGCGGUGGCGGCGGCGGCGGGGGCGGGG
rnacentral:lncRNA from 9 species